GUCUCUACUUCUCCACACUUGAAUAUUUUGACAAAAGCAAGCUUAGAUGAAUGCAAACGAGUAUAACAUUGAAUAUUGUUAUGAAGCUAAGUUCGUUCCUAAUGCCCACCAACCAACCCAGGCAAACUUUUCAUUGCUUGCGAUUUUCUCUGGAGUCAUCAUACUUCCUGCUGGUGUUUUCUUUUGACAUGUGAGCCUUGCACACCAAUAAAGGUGUUUGCAUUUGAUGUAAAGAAAGCGCUAAACAUAACUUGGUCCCAGAAGUAGUUUUUCACUCACCUGCAUGUAUGUGUCUGGGAUGUCUAGACUUCAGAAGAACAAAAUAAAGUCUAAGAAAUAAGAGUAAUGUUGCCACUUAACUUCUCGCUGUAAGUCCUUGUGUUAUUUCAAAUCAAAAUAGUAGUUUCAUGGUGUUUCUAGCGCCUCCAAAACUUCCCCAGGUAGUUGAAGUAAUGACAGAUUGAGAAGUUGUCAACUUCUUGCAUUC